rnacentral:rRNA from 1 species
CCUACGGGAGGCAGCAGUGAGGAAUAUUGGUCAAUGGACGCAAGUCUGAACCAGCCAUGCCGCGUGCAGGAAGACGGCUCUAUGAGUUGUAAACUGCUUUUGUACGAGGGUAAACUCAGAUACGCGUAUCUUUCUGAAAGUAUCGUACGAAUAAGGAUCGGCUAACUCCGUGCCAGCAGCCGCGGUAAUCCGGAGGAUUCAAGCGUUAUCCGGAUUUAUUGGGUUUAAGGGGUGCGUAGGCGGUCGGAUAAGUUAGAGGUGAAAUCCCGAGGCUCAACUUCGGAAUUGCCUCUGAUACUGUUCGGCUAGAGAGUAGUUGCGGUAGGCGGAAUGUAUGGUGUAGCGGUGAAAUGCUUAGAGAUCAUACAGAACACCGAUUGCGAAGGCAGCUUACCAAGCUACUUCUGACGUUGAGGCACGAAAGCGUGGGGAGCAAACAGGAUUAGAUACCCUAGUAGUC